CUUGAGCACAAGAAGUGGAGGCUGCAGUGAGCUGAAGGGGCCACUGCACUCCAGCCUGGGUGACAGAACAAGACCCUGUCUAAAAAACAAACAAAGAAGUAAAUGCCCUAGUCUCAGGUAUUCUGUUAGAGCAACACCAAACACACUAAGACAGGGAGGAAGGGGCUGGGUGGGCUCCCACAGUCCUGUCCAGCCACUGGGCCCGUGCAGCACAGCACUUCCCGGGUGCAUCAGCAUUGAGCCUUUCCUGAGUGCUGCUGCCAUCUGUCCUCCAGUUAUGAAGGGAACAAGAGACCCAGAAGGGGUGGGGCUGGCCCUUGCUCACAGCCCUGGGCUGCAGCCCUUGUACAGAGCUGCCUCCUGGUCAGCCACGAAAGGCUCACUGGAGGAGGAGGGGUAGGUCAGGCCUCUUCCUGGCCUCAGAACAGGAUAUGGGUGGGGGAUGUUGGUGUCUCCUACACUGGGGUCUGCCCACCUUCUUCCCCCAAUGUUCCUCCAUCCUGCUCUGAGCGUUGUGCAGAGGACCCUGGACUGUGGGGUUCAUCCUUUCCUAGGGAGCUUCCAAGGGCCCACACAGCCUGCUCCCCGCACCCCAUGGAGGCGCAAUGAUAGCAGAAUUACUGACACUGUUAACCUGCUGGAGUUGGAACCUGGAGUCCUGGAAGGUGGGACUUGCUCAAGGACUCACUGCUGGCCUUGGGGAGCAGAGAACUCAGGUCUUUGUGAUUCCGAAGUCCAGGUUCUUCCACCUGCAACUGCAGUUUCCAGAAUUGGUCUCACCCCAGGAGGAUCAGCCAGAUGCAACGCCAGGAGCAGCAUCAGCCACGCUGUAAACAAGGGGGAAACCCCAAGCGCAUUACAGAGGACGUCAGCCCUGCCAUCACUGGGCUGGGGAAACAAUGCCAGCCAUGGCUGGUCUCCAGGUUCACAGUGAUAGGGGAAAUAAACCCUUAUUUGUCUAA